rnacentral:rRNA from 1 species
GAUAAACGCUGGCGGCGUGCCUAAUACAUGCAAGUCGAGCGAACGGACGAGAAGCUUGCUUCUCUGAUGUUAGCGGCGGACGGGUGAGUAACACGUGGAUAACCUACCUAUAAGACUGGGAUAACUUCGGGAAACCGGAGCUAAUACCGGAUAAUAUUUUGAACCGCAUGGUUCAAAAGUGAAAGACGGUCUUGCUGUCACUUAUAGAUGGAUCCGCGCUGCAUUAGCUAGUUGGUAAGGUAACGGCUUACCAAGGCAACGAUGCAUAGCCGACCUGAGAGGGUGAUCGGCCACACUGGAACUGAGACACGGUCCAGACUCCUACGGGAGGCAGCAGUAGGGAAUCUUCCGCACUGGGCGAAAGCCUGACGGAGCAACGCCGCGUGAGUGAUGAAGGUCUUCGGAUCGUAAAACUCUGUUAUUAGGGAAGAACAUAUGUGUAAGUAACUGUGCACAUCUUGACGGUACCUAAUCGGAAAGCCACGGCCAACUACGUGCCAGCAGCCGCGGUAAUACGUAGGUGGCAAGCGUUAUCCGGAAUUAUUGGGCGUAAAGCGCGCGUAGGCGGUUUUUUAAGUCUGAUGUGAAAGCCCACGGCUCAACCGUGGAGGGUCAUUGGAAACUGGAAAACUUGAGUGCAGAAGAGGAAAGUGGAAUUCCAUGUGUAGCGGUGAAAUGCGCAGAGAUAUGGAGGAACACCAGUGGCGAAGGCGACUUUCUGGUCUGUAACUGACGCUGAUGUGCGAAAGCGUGGGGAUCAAACAGGAUUAGAUACCCUGGUAGUCCACGCCGUAAACGAUGAGUGCUAAGUGUUAGGGGGUUUCCGCCCCUUAGUGCUGCAGCUAACGCAUUAAGCACUCCGCCUGGGGAGUACGACCGCAAGGUUGAAACUCAAAGGAAUUGACGGGGACCCGCACAAGCGGUGGAGCAUGUGGUUUAAUUCGAAGCAACGCGAAGAACCUUACCAAAUCUUGACAUCCUUUGACAACUCUAGAGAUAGAGCCUUCCCCUUCGGGGGACAAAGUGACAGGUGGUGCAUGGUUGUCGUCAGCUCGUGUCGUGAGAUGUUGGGUUAAGUCCCGCAACGAGCGCAACCCUUAAGCUUAGUUGCCAUCAUUAAGUUGGGCACUCUAAGUUGACUGCCGGUGACAAACCGGAGGAAGGUGGGGAUGACGUCAAAUCAUCAUGCCCCUUAUGAUUUGGGCUACACACGUGCUACAAUGGACAAUACAAAGGGCAGCGAAACCGCGAGGUCAAGCAAAUCCCAUAAAGUUGUUCUCAGUUCGGAUUGUAGUCUGCAACUCGACUACAUGAAGCUGGAAUCGCUAGUAAUCGUAGAUCAGCAUGCUACGGUGAAUACGUUCCCGGGUCU